CCACGGCUGUCAGGAGAGAGCCCGCGCGCCAUGCGCGGGCCGCCGAAGGCGCAGGCGCAAAGCCUUAACGCUCAGGCAAAAGGACUGACGGCACGCC
rnacentral:ncRNA from 2 species